UCUGCGUGUGAAUAUCAGCCGAAGAAAAGACAACAAUGGCGGCGACCUGCUCGUGGAAGUUAGACAAAGAAACGGGGCAGGAUGCGCUUAUCGGUCACAGGUCUGCUAGACGAAGGCUACUGAUCCUGAUGUGGAGGGCUUGAGGUGGCCACUGUCUUCACAAUGAACCCAGUAGUUGGAAUCAGUUCACACAAAUCCAAAGCUUCCUGAUACAUACACACAUACAUACGGUACAGUAAUCGUGGUAGCAGACUUACCAUCAGUCAGCUGGAAACCAAAGGGCUCUGCAACAAAGUGUGGUUUGGGAUCAGCUGGCUCUGGAUUCGGCUC